CCGAGAUGCCCUCGGCACUUAAGUGAAAAGUGGCGAUGUCAGGGGCCUUGGCGCCAUUGCCAAAGGCGACAAUGCCGGAGCGGAUGUAGAUACCCUUAGGGUCGCGGGUACCCUCCGAGACGCCACCCGUGUUGAUAAUCCGAACGUUCUGGCAUGCGAGCACAGAUGUGGGUGGGAAGGCAGGUUUACAACCCACGAACAACCAUAAGGCAGGUAAACGGGCCGAGGAUAGGGAUCGAACAGAAAGCAAAACGGAAAACCGAAAUAAAGCAAGACUCUAAGAUUACGCACUUUGCCGAGCAUAACGAGCUCCCUAGCACACUUUCGCCUACUCUUUCUGCCACAUGCUUACAGAGCUCGCGGUACGGAAUACCCCAAAAUCUUUCCGUCAAAAGGAAGGCUGGGGUUGGGGCAUUACAGUGCCUUAAGGCGGCAGGGUCUGAG
rnacentral:lncRNA from 1 species